rnacentral:lncRNA from 1 species
AUCCGCUUGGUGCAAGUGCAAAAGAAACCACAGAUGGAAGCUCACAGAUGGAAGCCCGCUGAUCAUACAGCUGUUUCUUUGUUGGCAUCAUAGUCUUGUGUGGCAUAUUAUCCAAUGUUCAAAAACCGGCCCAGUUUUCUAGUUAUUCAAGGCAGAAAGGAUGGCAGAAGAUUGUAAGAUUGAAGACAAGGAAGUCUUGGGAAGAGGGCCCAACACUGAGCUUGGCACCAGGAAGCGCGCAGGAGGGGUUUGAGCACCGGGCUCACAGGCACCAUCACGGCUUGAUUGAUACCAGGUACCAGACACCAUAGCUAUCAGUUAGCAUCACCAGUUAAGCUCUGCUUUUACUGCAGUGAACAGAGCAGACAUCAGCUGUCAUGAGAAAACACACCACACGAGAGAGCUUCAUUCGUAGAAGCCUGAGCCUGAGCCAGACCUACAGGCCUUGUUUGCCUCAAUAGGGAAAAUAAUUUUUAAAUGAGGAUGUUAAAUUGCCUUCUACUUUGAGUCUCUUGAAUAUUAGUGUUGACUUAAACCUUCCCCAUGGAGAGGAGUGGCACGGACCGGCUGAGCGGUGAGGUGGCAUCAGCACCAGCCUGGAAAGGAGCCGCGCUAGGUUGACAUCUCUGCCCUCCGUCAUGUAACAAUGGCUGAGGUUAUUGACCAGUUACUGUACUGAUCACUUUACGCACAUUACUCUGUUUAACCCUGGAUGGAGGAGUCCCGUUAUUAUUCCCAUUUUCCAGAUGAGGAAUUUGGAGCAGAGAGGUCAAGUGGCAGAUCUGGGAUGAAAGAAAACAACUGGACUUCACAGCCUGUGCUCUUAACCAAACUGCCUGAACUGAGACCCGCAGAGCCAACCCAAACUGAAAACACACGCAGCGAUCGCAAACUCAUUGUCGAAACACGGCAGACACUUCAAGAAC